rnacentral:piRNA from 1 species
UGGGUGGCACUGAGGUGAUGAUGACACUAU